CCUACGGGAGGCUGCAGUGAGGAAUAUUGGUCAAUGGCCGAGAGGCUGAACCAGCCAUGCCGCGUGAAGGUCAGUUGCCUAUUGGCGUUUAACUUCUUUUGUUCGGGGGCAAUAAUGAUCACGUUUGGCCAGACGAGAGUACCGUACGAAUAAGCAUCGGCUAACUCCGUGCCAGCAGCCGCGGUAAUACGGGGGAUGCAAGCGUUAUCCGGAUUUAUUGGGUUUAAAGGGAGCGUAGAUGGGUUGUUAAGUCAGUUGUGAAAGUUUGCGGCUCAACCGUAAAAUUGCAAUUGAUACUGGCAGUCUUGAGUACAGAUGAGGUAGGCGGAAUUCGUGGUGUAGCGGUGAAAUGCUUAGAUAUCACGAAGAACCCCGAUUGCGAAGGCAGCUUACUAAACUGUCACUGACAUUGAUGCUCGAAAGUGUGGGUAUCAAACAGGAUUAGAUACCCUUGUAGUC
rnacentral:rRNA from 1 species